rnacentral:rRNA from 1 species
AAACGACUCUCGGCAACGGAUAUCUUCGGCUCUCGCAUCGAUGAAGAACGUAGCGAAAUGCGAUACUUGGUGUGAAUUGCAGAAUCCCGUGAACCAUCGAGUUUUUGAACGCAAGUUGCGCCCGAAGCCACUCGGCCGAGGGCACGUCUGCCUGGGCGUCACG